GGCGCGGUGGCCUAAUGGUUAGCGUGUUGGACUCCAAAUUGAGCGAUCCUGGUUCAAGGCCUGGCCGGGGUCA